rnacentral:rRNA from 1 species
AAAUUGAAGAGUUUGAUCAUGGCUCAGAUUGAACGCUGGCGGCAGGCCUAACACAUGCAAGUCGAACGGUAACAGGAAACAGCUUGCUGUUUCGCUGACGAGUGGCGGACGGGUGAGUAAUGUCUGGGAAACUGCCUGAUGGAGGGGGAUAACUACUGGAAACGGUAGCUAAUACCGCAUAAUGUCGCAAGACUAAAGAGGGGGACCUUCGGGCCUCUUGCCAUCGGAUGUGCCCAGAUGGGAUUAGCUAGUAGGUGGGGUAACGGCUCACCUAGGCGACGAUCCCUAGCUGGUCUGAGAGGAUGACCAGCCACACUGGAACUGAGACACGGUCCAGACUCCUACGGGAGGCAGCAGUGGGGAAUAUUGCACAAUGGGCGCAAGCCUGAUGCAGCCAUGCCGCGUGUAUGAAGAAGGCCUUCGGGUUGUAAAGUACUUUCAGCGGGGAGGAAGGGAGUAAAGUUAAUACCUUUACUCAUUGACGUUACCCGCAGAAGAAGCA